rnacentral:rRNA from 1 species
GAUGAACGCUGGCGGCGUGCCUAAUACAUGCAAGUCGAACGCUGGAACUCUAGCUUGCUAGAUUGAAGGAGUGGCGAACGGGUGAGUAAUACAUAAGCAACCUACCCACGAAGACUGGGAUAAUCUCUGGAAACGGGGACUAAUACCGGAUAGGUAAUCGGAAGGCAUCUUCUGAUUAUUAAAGGUUAAAAACACUGGUGGAUGGGCUUAUGGCGCAUUAGUUAGUUGGUGAGGUAACGGCCCACCAAGACGAUGAUGCGUAGCCGGCCUGAGAGGGUGAACGGCCACAUUGGGACUGAGACACGGCCCAGACUCCUACGGGAGGCAGCAGUAGGGAAUUUUCGGCAAUGGGGGAAACCCUGACCGAGCAACGCCGCGUGAGUGAUGACGGCCUUCGGGGUGUAAAGCUCUGUUGUAAGGGAAGAACGGUAGAUAGAGAAUAUCUAAAUGACGGUACCUGACCAGAAAGCCACGGCUAACUACGUG